GAUUCCCUUUCUCUUUCUCUCUCUCUCUUAAAUAAAUCUUAAAAAAAAAAAAAAAAAAAAAAAAAUGAAGGCUAAAAAACAUAUGACCAUCUCCAGAGAUGCCGAAAAAGCAUUUGAUAAGAUUUAACACAAACAGGUUUAGAGGAAACCUUUCUCAACAUAACAAAGGCCAUUAUGACAAACACACAGCUAAAAUUAUACUCGGUCAGGAAAACUUUCAGUUAACAGCUUUACCUGUAAGAUCUAAAACAAAACAAGGAUGUCAGUCUACUCUUUGGGUAGAUUGACAUCAAGGAUGUCCAUCAAACUCACUUUUACUGAACAUAGUACUGGAAGUCCUGGCCACAGCAGUCAGGUAAGAGAAAGACGUAAGAGGCAUCAAAAUUGGUAAGGAAAAAAUAAAACUUUCACUGUUUGCAGAAAACAUAAUACUAUAUAUAAAAACCCUGAGGACACCACCAGAGAACUACUAAGAGCUGAUGAAUGAAUUCAGUAAUGUCACAGGAUAUAGAAUUUAGUAUACAUGAAUCUUUUAUUUCUGUACAUUAAUAAUGAAAUAACAGAAAGAGAAAUUAAGAAAGCAAUCCUAUUUAUAAUUGUACCAAACGGAAUAAAAUACCUAGGAUUAAACUUAACUAAGGAGAAAACCUGUACUCCA